GACGUAGGGCGCGAGCGUUGUCCGGAUUUAUUGGGCGUAAAGGGCUCGUAGGCGGUUUGUCACGUCGGGAGUGAAAACUCAGGGCUCAACCCUGAGCGUGCUUCCGAUACGGGCAGACUAGAGGUAUGCAGGGGAGAACGGAAUUCCUGGUGUAGCGGUGGAAUGCGCAGAUAUCAGGAGGAACACCGGUGGCGAAGGCGGUUCUCUGGGCAUGACCUGACGCUGAGGAGCGAAAGCAUGGGGAGCGAACAGG
rnacentral:rRNA from 1 species